AUUGAACGCUGGCGGCAGGCUUAACACAUGCAAGUCGAGCGGGGGAAGGUAGCUUGCUACCGGACCUAGCGGCGGACGGGUGAGUAAUGCUUAGGAAUCUGCCUAUUAGUGGGGGACAACAUCUCGAAAGGGAUGCUAAUACCGCAUACGUCCUACGGGAGAAAGCAGGGGAUCUUCGGACCUUGCGCUAAUAGAUGAGCCUAAGUCGGAGUAGCUAGUUGGUGGGGUAAAGGCCUACCAAGGCGACGAUCUGUAGCGGUGCUGAGAGGAUGAUCCGCCACACUGGGACUGAGACACGGCCCAGACUCCUACGGGAGGCAGCAGUAGGGAAUAUUGGACAAUGGGGGGAACCCUGAUCCAGCCAUGCCGCGUGUGUGAAGAAGGCCUUAUGGUUGUAAAGCACUUUAAGCGAGGAGGAGGCUACUCUAGUUAAUACCUAGGGAUAGUGGACGUUACUCGCAGAAUAAGCACCGGCUAACUCUGUGCCAGCCGCCGCCGUAAAAU
rnacentral:rRNA from 1 species